AUAGAACUCAAACAACAGAGUCUCGUGUGUGGGAGCUGCUGCAGUGUUGUGUUUGUUAAACCACACCAGACUGACCUGCUGAAGCUUGUUACAUCACAAAGGAUCCAUGAUGUUCUGGAACUUCCUGAAAGUUGUACCCGACCUUCUGAAAGCUGAAGAAGAAGAAGAAGAAGAAGAAGCCCGCAGCCUUACAAAAGGCAGUGGAAGUUCUUCUCACUGCAGGAUCCUUCCUGCUCGUUGGUUCUGGGCGAUAAAUAAACGUGGUUGGAACAGCAGCAGUCAUUAGU